AUCUACUCUCUGGAGAAGAUAUCCAGCAGUGACAUCAGCUCAGAGCUGGCAGAAACCAGUGGGACCCCGAUACACCCAUCUACUGUCUGGAG